CCUACGGGAGGCAGCAGUAGGGAAUCUUCGGCAAUGGACGAAAGUCUGACCGAGCAACGCCGCGUGAGUGAAGAAGGUUUUCGGAUCGUAAAGCUCUGUUGUAAGAGAAGAACGGGUGUGAGAGUGGAAAGUUCACACUGUGACGGUAUCUUACCAGAAAGGGACGGCUAACUACGUGCCAGCAGCCGCGGUAAUACGUAGGUCCCGAGCGUUGUCCGGAUUUAUUGGGCGUAAAGCGAGCGCAGGCGGUUAGAUAAGUCUGAAGUUAAAGGCUGUGGCUUAACCAUAGUACGCUUUGGAAACUGUUUAACUUGAGUGCAGAAGGGGAGAGUGGAAUUCCAUGUGUAGCGGUGAAAUGCGUAGAUAUAUGGAGGAACACCGGUGGCGAAAGCGGCUCUCUGGUCUGUAACUGACGCUGAGGCUC
rnacentral:rRNA from 1 species